rnacentral:rRNA from 1 species
GACCUCAAAUCAGGUAGGACUACCCGCUGAACUUAAGCAUAUCAAUAAGCGGAGGAAAAGAAACUAACAAGGAUUCCCCUAGUAACGGCGAGUGAAGCGGGAAAAGCUCAAAUUUGUAAUCUGGCGGUCUUUGGCCGUCCGAGUUGUAUUCUAUAGAAGCGUUAUCCGUGCCGGACCGUGUACAAGUCUCUUGGAACAGAGCGUCAUAGAGGGUGAGAAUCCCGUCCUUGACACGGAAGCCCGGUGCAUUGCGUUGCGCUUUCUAAGAGUCGAGUUGUUUGGGAAUGCAGCUCAAAUUGGGUGGUAAAUUCCAUCUAAAGCUAAAUAUUGGCGAGAGACCGAUAGCGAACAAGUACCGUGAGGGAAAGAUGAAAAGCACUUUGGAAAGAGAGUUAAACAGUACGUGAAAUUGUUGAAAGGGAAACGC